ensembl:lncRNA
CCCGGGCCGGCCCCGCCCCGCCCCGCCCUGCCUGGUGAGUCACGGCGCGAGGCGGCUGGUCGGGAAGCGCGUCAGUGCAGCGAGGGCGCUAAGUUCUGAGCCCGGCCCUCAGCCCGGCCGCUUGUCGGCUUUGGAGGACGCGCUGUUCCCUGCGGCCGCGGUUGCCUACGCGCGCCGCUGUCGUACCGCUCGUCCCGGCGCCCCGCAGAACCGGUUCCGCGCCUGGCAGGGCGCGCGGGUUCCGCCCGGCCGACAGGAGGCGCCCUUUGGCGCAGCCUGUGGAACUGCGACCGCCCCGCGCCCGGCGGACAAGAUGGCGGCGCCGCUGAGGGCAGCGAAGUGGCUGCGGCUGGCGGGUGGCGGGCCCGGCCUCGCUUUGACUCGUUCUGCAUUUUUUGCAAGAAAGCGUACUUACGACCAACCGAACUGGUUUGGAGUCGGGCUGGCUUUCACCACCAGUGCUGCCCUGUGGGCUUUUGUUGACCAAAUGUUUGAUGAGAAAUACCGUCCUGUGAAUUAAGGAGUACGGCGGACCUAUCUGAAAGUAUUUAAACCUUAUCUGUUCAUACAUUUCACAUGCAAGCCUAUGAAAUAAAGUGUGAAAGAAGCUUCUGAAGACUUCUCUUGCCGUUUGUAUUUUAUCCCACCGGCUUUCGUAAAUUGUUUUCUGAUUGCAUUUAGGUAUUUCAUAGUUCUGAAAGUAAUGUCGAUAAAGUGCACGGUUUUCUGGAAUGUGUAUUACAAAGUCGAGCAUCAGUUAAGAGACAGCCCAGGAGGCAGCUGGAAAGGAGCUGCUUGUUGAAGGGCAGCAUCUCAUGGAUAGUGCCGUGACUUUGCAGUGGUUCUGAAAGGCAGCGCCAGGUGAGUGUGCUUGCAGGGCUGUGCUCCGGGUGUCACGGAGGAGAGGCAGGAGCGGGCUUAGCCGGAGGGCGUGCUGGCUGUCAUUGCUCUGUGUUCUAAUGCUGUCUCGCUGUUCCCCUGGUGAGACGAACAGCUGCUGUUCCUGCUGCCUUCUGAGUGCUCAGCCCUACGCUUGCUGUAAGUCAAGGUCAGGCAAGGACAAAGGGAAUAAAAACGGAGUAGUGACAACGGCGCUGCCUGCCUGUGUGGGAG